rnacentral:lncRNA from 1 species
UCAUCAUUAUAGAUACAUAAUUAUGUUCCCCAUAUCAGUGGUAGCCCAUCUGAAACAGCAUCAGAUGCCAGUGGGAUUUCCACAUGUUCUAGGAGUGAUCAUAUAACAAAAUAACAUCCAGAUAGUGUGGAAAAACCUGCCAAGCAGGCUGAAUAUGCCACUGAACACUGACUGUGUGGAACAAGCAGUAAGUCACACCUAGAGUAAGCCAACUGAAUCAGUGGAACUUAUGGAGGAAUUGACUCACAAAUUCCCCAUUUGUGGGGGAAUCAAUGGGCCUAUUCUAAUUGUGAUUUACUACUGGAUAUCAGCCAGGGUGUAGUGUUGGAUUUAUCAGGGCUCUCUACAGUAAUUUUACAUAAUCCAUUUUGAGAUUCAUCUUUGAAACAGAUUUUAAUUUCCUGAAAUACUAGUGCACAUGAAAUGUUAUACUUCAUAUUAUUCUCAUACAUCAUACAUAUAAUAUACUAUUAUAUUAAUGUUUAAUUGAUGCCUUUUCUUUUAAUGUUCACAAUCCAAACUAGAUAAUCAUCUCAUCAAUGGAACUGUCGGUGAUUGUAUGCUCCUUGACCCUAAUAGCCAGAAACCAGCAGUCAAUGUGCAUUACUUGAUUUGGAAGAAAGGCAGCUUCUUAGGGAAGAUGAAAGGUCCAAAUGUAACGCCCUGCAAAACUGACAACAAAAGAUGUACAGUAUUAUUGCUAGUAAUGGCAGCUUGAGUUUGUGCCCAGCAUGGCUGGAGGAUAGUGGGCAGUACGUGGUAGAAGCUUAUACCAAGGAUGGAAUACAGGAAUACACUCACAGAUUUCAAGUAGUGCUUGCUCAACCCAAAUUAAGGAGUAAUCUCAUCAAUGGAACGCCUGGUAAUUGUGUGCUAUUUGAUCUGGACAGCAGAAAACCAGCAAUCCGCAUUAGUAAUGUAACUUGGAGAAAAGACCAUAUCUUAAUGGGGAAGAUGAAAGGUGGCAAUGUAACCGCCUGUGAAAUCUACAGCAAAAGAUGUCUUAUCUUUAUCAAUGGCAGCUUGAGUUUGUGUCCCAUGUGGCUGGAAGAUUCUGGGCAGUAUUUUGUAGAAGUAUUUACGGAUGAUGGAAAACAGCUGUACAAUCAAUCAAUUCAUCUGGUUCUUACUGGUAUGUGUUGUAGGCUAUCCUCAUUAGAUAAGCACCAGAGGUCACCAGCUUUCACUCUGAUGCAUUUUGUUCAAAGAAUAUCAGAGAACAAGUAG